CACGACUCUCGGCAACGGAUAUCUCGGCUCUCGCAUCGAUGAAGAACGUAGCGAAAUGCGAUACCUGGUGUGAAUUGCAGAAUCCCGCGAACCAUCGAGUCUUUGAACGCAAGUUGCGCCCGAGGCCAUUCGGCCGAGGGCACGCCUGCCUGGGCGUCACGCU
rnacentral:rRNA from 4 species